rnacentral:rRNA from 1 species
UACAAGUACCCGUGAGGGAAAGUUGCAAAGCACUUUGAAGAGAGAGUUAAAGAGGACGUGAAACCGGUAAGGUGGAAACGGAUAGAGCUAGCGUAUCUAGCUUGUAUUCAGCCGCUCUGGUCUAGGUGCCCUGUCUGCUGGUCCGGCUUCGGCCAGUUGGCGGGUGUCUCCUGGGCCUUGGCGGUGCAUUUGCAAGUGGAGUGCGCUGAGGCCUGUGUGGCAGCGGUUGGAAGUGCGCCUUGAGGAUACCCUUCGGGGUAAAACCCGGGCGUACCUAAGACUGUUUGCUCUGCUUGUACAAUGGGCGAGGCCAACGGGUUUGGCUGAGGCUGAGCUGGUCGCCGGUUACGGUCGCAUGCGACACGUGCUGGUGGCUGGUUUGGUUUCGGUUUGGCUCCCUCGCUCGCCCUCGGUGUAAAAGCUAGUCAUCUAUCCGACCCGUCUUGAAACACGGACCAAGGAGUUUAGCGUAUACGCGAGUCAUUGAGUGGAAAACUCAAAGGCGCAAUGAAAGUAAAGGUAUCCCUUGUGGAGCUGAUAUGCGACCUCGGGUGCCUCGGUGCCCGGGAGCAGCAUAGCCCCGUCCUAAUCGCUUGCGAUGGGGCGGAGGUAGAGCGUAUUCGCUGAGACCCGAAAGAUGGUGAACUAUUCCUGAGCAGGAUGAAGCCAGUGGAAACACUGGUGGAAGUCCGAAGCGAUUCUGACGUGCAAAUCGAUCGUCUGACUUGGGUAUAGGGGGCGAAAGACUAAAUCGAACCAUCUAGUAGCUGGUUCCUUUCCGAAUGGUGUAG